rnacentral:rRNA from 1 species
AGUGGCGGACGGGUGAGUAACGCGCGGGUAACCUGCCUCAUACAGGGGGAUAACAGUUAGAAAUGACUGCUAAUACCGCAUAAGACCACAGCACCGCAUGGUGCAGGGGUAAAAACUCCGGUGGUAUAAGAUGGACCCGCGUUGGAUUAGCUAGUUGGUGGGGUAACGGCCCACCAAGGCGACGAUCCAUAGCCGGCCUGAGAGGGUGAACGGCCACAUUGGGACUGAGACACGGCCCAGACUCCUACGGGAGGCAGCAGUGGGGAAUAUUGCACAAUGGGGGAAACCCUGAUGCAGCGACGCCGCGUGAAGGAAGAAGUAUCUCGGUAUGUAAACUUCUAUCAGCAGGGAAGAUAGUGACGGUACCUGACUAAGAAGCCCCGGCUAACUACGUGCCAGCAGCCGCGGUAAUACGUAGGGGGCAAGCGUUAUCCGGAUUUACUGGGUGUAAAGGGAGCGUAGACGGUGUGGCAAGUCUGAUGUGAAAGGCAUGGGCUCAACCUGUGGACUGCAUUGGAAACUGUCAUACUUGAGUGCCGGAGGGGUAAGCGGAAUUCCUAGUGUAGCGGUGAAAUGCGUAGAUAUUAG